UUAAAGGCUCUAGAUAUGGAAAAGCACCUGUUCACAUGAACAACUCAGAGAAACAAAAGGAAAAGCAAGCAAGACAAAAACCAUUUGUCUGUUAUGAGUGUGGAAAAAGAUGUGGGCAAAAGGGCGACCUGAACAAACACAUGAUAAUUCAUACAGGACAAAAACCAUUUGUUUGUUCUGAGUGUGGUCAAAGAUUUGUACAAAAGAG